GCAUCAUUUUGUGAUCAAAGGAGUAAUCCGGUUUUUGAUGGACCCGCGUCCAAUUAGCUAGUUGGUGAGGUAAUGGCCCACCAAGGCGACGAUUGGUAGCCGAACUGAGAGGUUGAUCGGCCACAUUGGGACUGAGACACGGCCCAGACUCCUACGGGAGGCAGCAGUGGGGAAUAUUGCGCAAUGGAGGAAACUCUGACGCAGCAACGCCGCGUGAAGGAUGAAGGUUUUCGGAUUGUAAACUUCUUUGAUUGGGGACGAAAUAAAUGACGGUACCCAAAAAACAAGCCACGGCUAACUACGUGCCAGCAGCCGCGGUAAUACGUAUGUGGCGAGCGUUGUCCGGAUUUACUGGGUGUAAAGGGCGUGUAGGCGGGAAGAUAAAGUCAGAUGUGAAAUUCCAGGGCUCAACCCUGGCGCUUGCAUCUGAAACUAUUUUUCUUUGAGUGAUGGAGAGGAAAGCGAUUCCUA
rnacentral:rRNA from 1 species